CCUACGGGUGACAGCAGUGGGGAAUAUUGCACAAUGGGGGAAACCCUGAUGCAGCGACGCCGCGUGAGUGAAGAAGUAUUUCGGUACGUAAAGCUCUAUCAGCAGGGAAGAAAAUGACGGUACCUGACUAAGAAGCCCCGGCUAACUACGUGCCAGCAGCCGCGGUAAUACGUAGGGGGCCAGCGUUAUCCGUAUUUACUGGGUGUAAAGGGAGCGUAGACGGCAGCGCAAGUCUGGAGUGAAAUCCCAUGGCUUAACCAUGGAACUGCUUUGGAAACUGUGCAGCUAGAGUGCAGGAGAGGUAAGCGGAAUUCCUAGUGUAGCGGUGAAAUGCGUAGAUAUUAGGAGGAACACCAGGGGCGAAGGCGGCUUACUGGACUGUAACUGACGUUGAGGCUCGAAAGCGUGGGGAGCAAACAGGAUUAGAUACCCUAGUAGUC
rnacentral:rRNA from 1 species